AGAAUAGAAAGAGUGUCCACGGAACUCACGGAAAACACGGAAAAAUCCAGAUUUUUCCGUGUUUUCCGUGAGUUCCGUGGACACUCUUUCUUCU
rnacentral:misc_RNA from 1 species